rnacentral:lncRNA from 1 species
AAGAAAUCUUAUCAAACCAAUACAUGGACGUUGCAAGAGAGAAGCUACGAGUGAAACCCAACGGAAUGAUACCUCAUAUGACAUAGCUGACACAUCUCUUUUCUCUCCUGGACUCAGGGAGCCUGGAGUCAGAGGGAAUGAGCCCUGGGAGCCUGGGACCUGGUCAGGUGAAUGCCCUCCAUCCAGACCUGACCCACAUCAGCAAUCACAAUCACCAGCCCUGAAGUCAGGAGGACCUGAGUUCAAAUGUGACCUCAGACACUUAACACUUCUUAUUUGUGGAACCCUGGAUAAGUCAC